GUGGGGAAUAUUGCACAAUGGAGGGAACUCUGAUGCAGCGAUGCCGCGUGGAGGAAGAAGGUUUUCGGAUUGUAAACUCCUUUUAUCAGGGACGAUAAUGACGGUACCUGAAGAAAAAGCUCCGGCUAACUACGUGCCAGCAGCCGCGGUAAUACGUAGGGAGCGAGCGUUGUCCGGAAUUACUGGGUGUAAAGGGAGCGUAGGCGGGAUAGCAAGUCAGAUGUGAAAACUAUGGGCUCAACCUGUAGAUUGCAUUUGAAACUGUUGUUCUUGAGUGAAGUAGAGGUAAGCGGAAUUCCUAGUGUAGCGGUGAAAUGCGUAGAUAUUAGGAGGAACAUCGGUGGCGAAGGCGGCUUACUGGGCUUUUACUGACGCUGAGGCUCGAAAGCGUGGGGAGCAAACAGGA
rnacentral:rRNA from 1 species